rnacentral:rRNA from 1 species
CGGGCCCUACGGGACGCAGCAGGGAAUAUUGCACAAUGGGGGAAACCCUGAUGCAGCGACGCCGCGUGAAGGACGAAGUAUUUCGGUACGUAAACUUCUAUCAGCAGGGAAGAAAAUGACGGUACCUGACCAAGAAGCCCCGGCUAACUACGUGCCAGCAGCCGCGGUAAUACGUAGGGGGCAAGCGUUAUCCGGAUUUACUGGGUGUAAAGGGAGCGUAGACGGCCGUGCAAGUCUGAUGUGA